CUCCGCCAGCCCGGCUGCGGGGUGCAGGGUCCGUCGGCAGUCACGGCUCGGACAGCGAAGCUGCGCCGGUAACAAGAAACGGGAGAAACAACCGUAAAAGGCCUGAAAUGGGUAAGAUGCCAGCGCUGGUCCUCGGCAUCGUCAACUCCGAUUACUCAAAAGCCCUCUAGUAACUCCUGGCUGUCAGACAGUGGAAGGACUUACUCAUAACUUCUGUGCUUUAUACCCACAGCGCUGCACAAACUGUGAGCACAGGCGCUUUAAAGAUCCGUCCCCAGAGCGCACGGUUAUGUCAGGGCAUCUUGUUUCGGAGGUUCCCCCCUUCCUCCGAGGGAGGGAAGAGCAGGGACAAGGACGAUCACUGGUUAAAGAAGCACUCGGUGACUCUCUUCUGUCCAUUGCCUUCACCCAGCAGCUCCCCCACCCGUGUAGCCUUUCCCACCCUUAAGAGGACUAUGCAGCCGCCCUCUAGAGAGCAGAGGGUAGGUUUGAGCUGCUAGAGAGCUACGCCUGACUCAUUCCCCUACGAUGGGUGCCACUGACAGAAGUUGCUGGAGUAUUUAUUUUCUGACUGACACAGAUCCAGCACUACAGCACCGUUUUAACUUACAGAGUGGAUAAAACGACAAUGCAUCCAGUGUGCAUCUUGUCUGGUAGCACUCUGUUUAAAAAAGGGAAGAAAAACGUACAGUUGGGUGAAGGAGGUAAACGUGUAAGCAAUCUUUAUAUCCCCUAUCAAAGGGAUUGCUAUACUCCUCCCAGGUUUUCCGCAGGGACAUUAACAGCCAAGCUGUCUCUGCAGAAGAGCUUAUAAGCCCUUCCAGCCCCAAAGUGAUAGGUAACAUCCAUAGCAGGAGGGCUCCACUGUCCUCUGCUCGCUCCUCUGCUCGAUGAAGCCUCACAGGGCACUGCGAGGGGAGCGAACCCUGGCCCAAGACAGGAGUGGCACCCACAGACAGCCUGUGAGCUAUAUAGCGAUUAGAGCACAGGGGAUGAGUCAUGGGAGUCACUUCGUAAGUUGCUAGCGACUCCCGGAGCAGUAUUAAACUGUUAAUGUGACUUUUCAUACAGAGGCUGAGAUUUAAAGUAUUUGCUGAUCUUUGAGAGCAAGAGUGCAGGCAGGCAAGUGGGCAACACUCACCAUCAAGAAGUGUAAUAGCGAGUUCUUUGCUGUGCUUUGCCUUGCACCAGCUAUUUGGUAAGGCACAGCAGUGCGUGCAGCCAGAGCAAUGGGUUGUAACAGUGAUUUAACUAACACAAGUUGCUGGAAAGUUCACACAACCCCAGGUUUAAAAGACAGAUUCGUAAAAAAAGCAUUGAGAUUGUACCAAUGAAUCACUCAUCUCUUUGCAACUACUAGGGAAAGCUAUCAUCUGGCAGCUGGCAGGGAAGAACUCUUGGGUUUUGCACUGAAGGGAAGAAAAGGCACAUUUACUGUACACAACCCCUACUGACUGAAGUCUCAGACCUUAGUCCAGCCUCAGAAGCCCAAGAGGCAGAAUCAGAUUUCACACUUGCAGGCAACCUCUUAGUAAUGGUUUGAAGAGCAAGAUUGAUGGUCUGGAUUCAAGGCAACAAACUCCAGGAAGUUUUUCAAUCUAAACAAGUAAAAAUAAAAAUAGAGCAAGUAGGAUAUCACAACAUGCUGUGUUUCUUGACUGUGAGCUCUAAGUGAAGACUGUUAGUAACUGGGACUUGUAAUCUAAAUGAAUGCUCUGUGCAGUAACAUCAAGAGCUCAUAUUCCAACCUUUCCCAUCUUGUGGGGCAUCUGAGGUCUCUUUCUUCAUUUUGGUCUUCCACAGAUCUUGCAGACGCUAAAUUAUCUUGGAGAUAUUCGCUCCUCUCAGAUUUGACCAAUGUGUUCAAAUUCACUGGAGAAUAAGAGGCAACAGAACAAGGCACAGCCAGUGGAACAGCUCACUGCUGCUAAGAGAGAUUGUCCCAGGUCUGCAUUUCCUUCCUCCCAUGCACCUCAUCACAUCAACCUGCCUACCCUGUGCUCGUCCUACUUUUCCACUAGGGAAGUGGUCAAACAAG